rnacentral:lncRNA from 1 species
AAACGACGCCAUGUUUGUUAUGUGCCUCUGCCGUCUUAAUAACCUAUAAAAAAAGAAGAGGGAAAAGAGAGCCAGAAGAUCUUCCAAAUGCAAAAAAAAAAACCCAGAAAUAUACUUCUACUGGCUCACUUCCGAAGAACAAAAAAAAAAAAAAACGCGACCCAUUAAUAUGUUUUUAAAAACGCCUUGCCCCUACCUUUUUUU